rnacentral:RNase_P_RNA from 2 species
AGAGUAGGCGCAGGCGGUUGCAGAUCAGUUUUGUUGAAGCUGGUUUGAGGAAAGUCCGGGCUCCCGAAAGACCAAACCUGCUGGGUAACGCCCAGUGCGAGCGAUCGCGAGGAUAGUGCCACAGAAAGAUACCGCCAGGACUAGGGACUAGGGACUAGGGACUAGGGACUGGGAAAGAAUCUUCCCAAUCCCGAAUCCCGAAUCCCCAAUCCCGAAUCCCUGGUAAGGGUGCAAAGGUGCGGUAAGAGCGCACCAGCACGACCGAGAGGUCGUGGCUCGGUAAACCCCGGUUGGGAGCAAGGUCACAAGGAACUACGGUUGGUCUUUUACCAGUUCCGUCAUAAGAGCCGCUUGAGGCGUCUGGUAACAGGCGUCCCAGAUAGAUAACUGCCCUCUAAAUGUAGAGACGUAGUAUGCUACAUUUCUACAAAAGAGAACAGAACCCGGCUUACGUUCCGACUCUCUCC